AGCAGCUGGAUGCAGAUCUGAUACACAAAGUCUAGAAAUGGAAAGUUGUGUCCAUCAGACCAACACAGCGGAUUCUGGGAUGUUCUGCUCUCUUGGUGAAACAAGCUAAACGUUAUUCAGAGAUGGACUGAAAACACUCGGUGUGCUGGACUAAAUCCAAGCUCAGCUCUUCUGUGCUGGUCUCCUGCAGCCUCUCAGCUGAUGUGGCCGACAGUCUUUUCAUUAUCCGCCAUCUCCAGCUGGCAGCAACAGAAGCUGCUGAGGAAGUUCUUCCUUUCUGGAGACACACGCAGAAAUGAGGAAGGAACAGAAACUGGGAACGAUCCUCGCCUUUUCCACAGGAGCCAACACUCCUUCACCGACUGGGUUCUCUCCUCCACAAAGAGGAGGAUUCAGGAAGCUGCAAAGCUGCCGCUGCAAACAGCUGCACUAACUGCUUGAAGCUACGCUGCAGACCUCAUACGGAGACCUUCAGGAAAACAGGGGCUCUGCGGUGGGCGGGACCCUUGGUUUUAGCCCAGCGUAAUAUGUGUACAGGUCUG